GACGAACGCUGGCGGCGUGCUUAACACAUGCAAGUCGAACGGAAAGGCCCUGCUUUUGUGUGGUGCUCGAGUGGCGAACGGGUGAGUAACACGUGAGUAACCUGCCCUUGACUUUGGGAUAACUUCAGGAAACUGGGGCUAAUACCGGAUAGGAGCUCCUGCUGCAUGGGGGGGGUUGGAAAGUUUCGGCGGUUGGGGAUGGACUCGCGGCUUAUCAGCUUGUUGGUGGGGUAGUGGCUUACCAAGGCUUUGACGGGUAGCCGGCCUGAGAGGGUGACCGGCCACAUUGGGACUGAGAUACGGCCCAGACUGCUACGGGAGGCAGCAGUGGGGAAUAUUGCACAAUGGGCGGAAGCCUGAUGCAGCAACGCCGCGUGCGGGAUGACGGCCUUCGGGUUGUAAACCGCUUUCGCCUGUGACGAAGCGUGAGUGACGGUAAUGGGUAAAGAAGCACCGGCUAACUACGUG
rnacentral:rRNA from 1 species